UUGUCCUGUAGAGGUUUGACAUUAGUCCUAACUUCCUUUCAGAUGCAGACAGUACAAAUCGGUGGCAAAGGGCACCAGUCCUGGAUGAGGAACUUCCCAUGAGCUGGUCAGUCAUUGUUUGCAUUUACAGGGGAAGCAUAAAUGGUGAAUCUGUUACAGCCCUGUUCUGUGCCUUUAUUUUUAGGAGGUCCAGGCAGAUAGCAGCAGUCAAAGCCCAGUGUGCCAGGGAAUCCACUGGGAGUAUGCUAAGCCCCUGUCAGCAGCUGGCUGAUGGACUGGGUUUGCUGCACUUAUGAGCCCUCUGGAAGUAUUACAGGACCCUGUGAUGAAGCCUACUGAUUUUGCAUUUCAAGGUCCCAUCCUGGUAGCCCAGAGCAGUGGCCAAGGAGUUGUGGUGAGUCGGGGAGGUAGGGAGGAGGAGUGAGAGUCCUCUCGAGUUUCAGCAUUGUCUCCCCUUAACGUAGGUGUGCCCUGCAAUGAUGGCGUCAGAAUCCAAGCACACCCGGAGCGUGCAGGCCCAGAACCCGGGCAUUCUGAGGAGGAUGGCCAAGAAGUGACAGCUGGAACUUACCAGACAGGCAGACGGCCUUCUUCUGCAGCCAACAGGGAUUUGCAUCCCCAGAUAUGCGCAAGAUAAGUCAAGGGCUACAACCCACAGAGGGCAUGGAAGCGAGGUGCCAGGUUGGGAGUCCCCAGGAGGGGUUUUUCAGUUAGUUUUGGAGAUGAGGAUGUCCAAGAAGUGUCUUCUUAGGCCAGCUAAAGGAAAAGUGUCUCUUUUGAUCACAGUGCCGGGGUGCGCAGGGCAGAGCAGUUCCGGUGUGUGUCCUGUCACUUGUCUCUGGUGCACUCUGUGUUCUUUGGGUCUCCCAGUCCUUUCUUCUUGUGGAAAGCUCUCUCUCCCUGUCUUGUCCCCUCGUUUCUCACGUCCUGUGUCACGGGUGUCUGCACAUAUUUGUACCGGAGCUGCUCUGCCGUGCUGCGUAGCCUGUAAUAGCACAAGUCCUGGGGGCUUGAAAUUGGUAAUGCAGGGUGUAGCUGGGCUCCACAUUUUGUUAGGAGAUUACCAGAACUUGUUUGGUGGUGUUAAGUUGUC